rnacentral:rRNA from 1 species
UUAAGUUAUUAAGGGCGCACGGUGGAUGCCUUGGCACUAGAAGCCGAUGAAGGACGUUACUAACGACGAUAUGCUUUGGGGAGCUGUAAGUAAGCUUUGAUCCAGAGAUUUCCGAAUGGGGAAACCCAGCAUGAGUUAUGUCAUGUUAUCGAUAUGUGAAUACAUAGCAUAUCAGAAGGCACACCCGGAGAACUGAAACAUCUUAGUACCCGGAGGAAGAGAAAGAAAAUUCGAUUCCCUUAGUAGCGGCGAGCGAAACGGGAAGAGCCCAAACCAACAAGCUUGCUUGUUGGGGUUGUAGGACACUCUAUACGGAGUUACAAAGGACGACAUUAGACGAAUCAUCUGGAAAGAUGAAUCAAAGAAGGUAAUAAUCCUGUAGUCGAAAAUGUUGUCUCUCUUGAGUGGAUCCUGAGUACGACGGAGCACGUGAAAUUCCGUUGGAAUCUGGGAGGACCAUCUCCUAAGGCUAAAUACUCUCUAGUGACCGAUAGUGAACCAGUACCGUGAGGGAAAGGUGAAAAGCACCCCGGAAGGGGAGUGAAAUAGAACCUGAAACCGUGUGCUUACAAGUAGUCAGAGCCCGUUAAUGGGUGAUGGCGUGCCUUUUGUAGAAUGAACCGGCGAGUUACGAUUUGAUGCAAGGUUAAGCAGUAAAUGUGGAGCCGUAGCGAAAGCGAGUCUGAAUAGGGCGUUUAGUAUUUGGUCGUAGACCCGAAACCAGGUGAUCUACCCUUGGUCAGGUUGAAGUUCAGGUAACACUGAAUGGAGGACCGAACCGACUUACGUUGAAAAGUGAGCGGAUGAACUGAGGGUAGCGGAGAAAUUCCAAUCGAACCUGGAGAUAGCUGGUUCUCUCCGAAAUAGCUUUAGGGCUAGCCUCAAGUGAUGAUUAUUGGAGGUAGAGCACUGUUUGGACGAGGGGCCCCUCUCGGGUUACCGAAUUCAGACAAACUCCGAAUGCCAAUUAAUUUAACUUGGGAGUCAGAACAUGGGUGAUAAGGUCCGUGUUCGAAAGGGAAACAGCCCAGACCACCAGCUAAGGUCCCAAAAUAUAUGUUAAGUGGAAAAGGAUGUGGCGUUGCCCAGACAACUAGGAUGUUGGCUUAGAAGCAGCCAUCAUUUAAAGAGUGCGUAAUAGCUCACUAGUCGAGUGACACUGCGCCGAAAAUGUACCGGGGCUAAACAUAUUACCGAAGCUGUGGAUUGUCCUUUGGACAAUGGUAGGAGAGCGUUCUAAGGGCGUUGAAGCAUGAUCGUAAGGACAUGUGGAGCGCUUAGAAGUGAGAAUGCCGGUGUGAGUAGCGAAAGACGGGUGAGAAUCCCGUCCACCGAUUGACUAAGGUUUCCAGAGGAAGGCUCGUCCGCUCUGGGUUAGUCGGGUCCUAAGCUGAGGCCGACAGGCGUAGGCGAUGGAUAACAGGUUGAUAUUCCUGUACCACCUAUAAUCGUUUUAAUCGAUGGGGGACGCAGUAGGAUAGGCGAAGCGUGCGAUUGGAUUGCACGUCUAAGCAGUAAGGCUGAGUAUUAGGCAAAUCCGGUACUCAUUAAGGCUGAGCUGUGAUGGGGAGAAGACAUUGUGUCUUCGAGUCGUUGAUUUCACACUGCCGAGAAAAGCCUCUAGAUAGAAAAUAGGUGCCCGUACCGCAAACCGACACAGGUAGUCAAGAUGAGAAUUCUAAGGUGAGCGAGCGAACUCUCGUUAAGGAACUCGGCAAAAUGACCCCGUAACUUCGGGAGAAGGGGUGCUCUUUAGGGUUAACGCCCAGAAGAGCCGCAGUGAAUAGGCCCAAGCGACUGUUUAUCAAAAACACAGGUCUCUGCUAAACCGUAAGGUGAUGUAUAGGGGCUGACGCCUGCCCGGUGCUGGAAGGUUAAGAGGAGUGGUUAGCUUCUGCGAAGCUACGAAUCGAAGCCCCAGUAAACGGCGGCCGUAACUAUAACGGUCCUAAGGUAGCGAAAUUCCUUGUCGGGUAAGUUCCGACCCGCACGAAAGGCGUAACGAUUUGGGCACUGUCUCAACGAGAGACUCGGUGAAAUCAUAGUACCUGUGAAGAUGCAGGUUACCCGCGACAGGACGGAAAGACCCCGUGGAGCUUUACUGUAGCCUGAUAUUGAAAUUCGGCACAGCUUGUACAGGAUAGGUAGGAGCCUUUGAAACGUGAGCGCUAGCUUACGUGGAGGCGCUGGUGGGAUACUACCCUAGCUGUGUUGGCUUUCUAACCCGCACCACUUAUCGUGGUGGGAGACAGUGUCAGGCGGGCAGUUUGACUGGGGCGGUCGCCUCCUAAAAGGUAACGGAGGCGCUCAAAGGUUCCCUCAGAAUGGUUGGAAAUCAUUCAUAGAGUGUAAAGGCAUAAGGGAGCUUGACUGCGAGACCUACAAGUCGAGCAGGGUCGAAAGACGGACUUAGUGAUCCGGUGGUUCCGCAUGGAAGGGCCAUCGCUCAACGGAUAAAAGCUACCCCGGGGAUAACAGGCUUAUCUCCCCCAAGAGUUCACAUCGACGGGGAGGUUUGGCACCUCGAUGUCGGCUCAUCGCAUCCUGGGGCUGUAGUCGGUCCCAAGGGUUGGGCUGUUCGCCCAUUAAAGCGGUACGCGAGCUGGGUUCAGAACGUCGUGAGACAGUUCGGUCCCUAUCCGUCGUGGGCGUAGGAAAUUUGAGAGGAGCUGUCCUUAGUACGAGAGGACCGGGAUGGACAUACCUCUGGUGUACCAGUUGUCGUGCCAACGGCAUAGCUGGGUAGCUAUGUGUGGACGGGAUAAGUGCUGAAAGCAUCUAAGCAUGAAGCCCCCCUCAAGAUGAGAUUUCCCAACUUCGGUUAUAAGAUCCCUCAAAGAUGAUGAGGUUAAUAGGUUCGAGGUGGAAGCAUGGUGACAUGUGGAGCUGACGAAUACUAAUCGAUCGAAGACUUAAUCAA